GCGAUCAUACCAGCACUAAUGCACCGGAUCCCAUCAGAACUCCGAAGUUAAGCGUGCUUGGUCGAGAGCAGUACUAGGAUGGGUGACCCCCUGGGAGUUAUUUUAGUAUUAUUAUU
rnacentral:rRNA from 1 species